rnacentral:rRNA from 1 species
GUGAGGAAUAUUGGUCAAUGGACGAAAGUCUGAACCAGCGACGCCGCGUGUGGGACGAAGGAGCUUUGCUCUGUAAACCACUGUCGGAAGGGAAAAAAAGAAGUACGAACUUCUGGGAUUGUACCUUCAAAGGAAGGAUCGGCUAACUACGUGCCAGCAGCCGCGGUAAUACGUAGGAUCCAAGCGUUGUCCGGAUUUACUGGGUGUAAAGGGUGCGUAGGCGGACUCGUGCGUUAGGGGUUAAAUGCUUCGGCUCAACCGAAGAAAUGCCUUUAAUACGGCGAGUCUUGAGUGCGAGAGAGGAUAGUAGAAUUCCUGGUGUAGCGGUGAAAUGCGUAGAUAUCAGGAGGAAUACCAGUGGCGAAGGCGGCUAUCUGGCUCGUAACUGACGCUGAGGCACGAAAGCGUGGGGAGCAAACAGGAUUAGAAACCCCUGUAGUCC